rnacentral:rRNA from 1 species
UGGGGAAUUUUGGACAAUGGGGGAAACCCUGAUCCAGCCAUCCCGCGUGCGCGAUGAAGGCCUUCGGGUUGUAAAGCACUUUUGGCAGGAAAGAAACGUCAUGGGUUAAUACCCCGUGAAACUGACGGUACCUGCAGAAUAAGCACCGGCUAACUACGUGCCAGCAGCCGCGGUAAUACGUAGGGUGCAAGCGUUAAUCGGAAUUACUGGGCGUAAAGCGUGCGCAGGCGGUUCGGAAAGAAAGAUGUGAAAUCCCAGAGCUCAACUUUGGAACUGCAUUUUUAACUACCGGGCUAGAGUGUGUCAGAGGGAGGUGGAAUUCCGCGUGUAGCAGUGAAAUGCGUAGAUAUGCGGAGGAACACCGAUGGCGAAGGCAGCCUCCUGGGAUAACACUGACGCUCAUGCACGAAAGCGUGGGGAGCAAACAGG